GUUUUCAGUCCAGCGGGUCCAGACCCGUGUCGGGUCCUGGGUCGGGUCCUGGGUUGGGUCUUGAUCUGUCCAGGACUCUGUCGUCGUCUUCUCUACCAGACAUUACAGACGAUAACCCCUCCCCCUUGAAGAGCGUUGACUUCCAUGUUGACCCUGAGGCCACGCCUCCUGUCAGGCCACUGAGGUCCCAGUCCUUUCACACGUCCUCAGGCUCCUCCCAUCAGCCCCCCCAGUAACCUUACCAGUACCAGUACAUGGACUCCACCCC